rnacentral:rRNA from 1 species
AUGAACGCUGGCGGCGUGCUUAACACAUGCAAGUCGAGCGAAGCAUUUAAGACGAUCUCUUCGGAUUGAGUCUUAUAUGACUGAGCGGCGGACGGGUGAGUAACGCGUGGGUAACCUGCCUCAUACAGGGGGAUAACAGUUAGAAAUGACUGCUAAUACCGCAUAAGCGCACAGGGCUGCAUGGCCUGGUGUGAAAAACUCCGGUGGUAUGAGAUGGACCCGCGUCUGAUUAGCUAGUUGGAGGGGUAACGGCCCACCAAGGCGACGAUCAGUAGCCGGCCUGAGAGGGUGAACGGCCACAUUGGGACUGAGACACGGCCCAGACUCCUACGGGAGGCAGCAGUGGGGAAUAUUGCACAAUGGGGGAAACCCUGAUGCAGCGACGCCGCGUGAAGGAAGAAGUAUCUCGGUAUGUAAACUUCUAUCAGCAGGGAAGAAAAUGACGGUACCUGACUAAGAAGCCCCGGCUAACUACGUGCCAGCAGCCGCGGUAAUACGUAGGG